rnacentral:rRNA from 1 species
CUGAUCGUAGCAGUUUUCCGUGGUGAACCUGCGGAAAAAUCAUUAUCGAAAACUGAGGCGCGAGGGCUGUCGCUGACCUGAACUCAGGUUGUGUCGUCCGAGCGUCCUCAUACAUCCAUCUCACCCCUAUGUGCACCACCGCGUGGGUCUUCUUUUGGCUCGUCCGAAGGGGGCUUACUUUUUUACUCAAACUUUGUAUGCAGUAUAGAAUGUACCUUUGUUUUGCGAUCACGCAAUUAAUACAACUUUCAAUACGGAUCACUUGGCUCUCGCAUCGAUGAAGAACGCAGCGAAAUGUGAUACGUAAUGUGAAUUGCAGAAUUCAGUGAAUCAUCGAAUCUUUGAACGCACCUUGCGCCCCCUGGCAUUCCGAGGGGCACACCCGUUUGAGUGUCGUGAAAUUCUCAAAACCCUUUUCUUUUUGGGAGAAGGGUUUUGGACUUGGAGGCCCUUUGCUGGCUUUGCCUUGAAGCCAGCUCCUCCUAAAUCACUUAGCGGGGUCCACUUCCCCGAUCCUAGACGUGAUUAGAUGUUUCUGCGUCUUGUUUUUGACACUGUCACCCGCUUCUAAUCGUCUAAUUGACCAUUGAUGGUGUCCCGGACACCAUCUCUCUAUGGGGUGGUUGGCUUGACCCACAAAAUGACCUUGACCUCAAAUCGCGUGAGAUAACCCACUAAAUUUUAGCAUAACGUAUGGAUCCAGU